AAGACUAUACCUUCAGGGAUCAUUUCUAUAGUUUGUUACUAGAGAAGUUUUUCUGAAUAUAUAAAGCACCAGGGGAAAAAAAGAAAAGAAAACUGAAAAUCAGGAGUUUGCUGUUUGGGUUAGUGUCUGUUUUU
rnacentral:snoRNA from 1 species